UCGAGACGACGUGAUUGGAUGCGGCCGUAGAUGGAUAAACUGGCGGCGGACCGUGCUCGGGCUCAGCGCUUGAACUGAGCGUCGACGCGCAGCCCCGACCGGUCCGCCCAUUGAUAGCCAGCAGCCGCUGCAACCCCAGGGAG
rnacentral:sRNA from 1 species